rnacentral:rRNA from 1 species
UAAGGAAUAUUGGACAAUGCCCGCAAGGGUGAUCCAGCCAUGCCGCGUGCAGGAAGACGGCCCUAUGGGUUGUAAACUGCUUUUGAACUAGAGAAAACCCCUUUACGUGUAAAGGGCUGAUAGUAUAGUUAGAAUAAGGAUCGGCUAACUUCGUGCCAGCAGCCGCGGUAAGACGAAGGAUCCAAGCGUUAUCCGGAUUCAUUGGGUUUAAAGGGUGCGUAGGCGGCCCGGUAAGUCAGUGGUGAAAUCUCCUUGCUUAACAAGGAAACUGCCAUUGAUACUGCUGGGCUUGAGUACAGAUGCUGUGGGCGGAAUAUGACAUGUAGUGGUGAAAUACAUAGAGAUGUCAUAGAACACCGAUUGCGAAGGCAGCUCACAAAACUGUAACUGACGCUGAGGCACGAAAGUGCGGGGAUCAAACAGG